rnacentral:rRNA from 1 species
AACGGGGAAGCUUGCUUCCGCCGACGACCGGCGCACGGGUGCGUAACGCGUAUACAAUCUACCUUGUACUGGGGUAUAGCCUUUAGAAAUGAAGAUUAAUCCCCCAUAGUCUCUUAGAGUGGCAUCACUUCUAGAGUAAAGGUUACGGUAUAAGAUGAGUAUGCGUUCUAUUAGUUUGUUGGUGUGGUAACGGCACACCAAGACUACGAUAGAUAGGGGCCCUGAGAGGGGGAUCCCCCACACUGGUACUGAGACACGGACCAGACUCCUACGGGAGGCAGCAGUGAGGAAUAUUGGACAAUGGAGGCAACUCUGAUCCAGCCAUGCCGCGUGCAGGAAGACUGCCCUAUGGGUUGUAAACUGCUUUUAUACAGGAAGAAACACCUCUACGUGUAGAGGCUUGACGGUACUGUAAGAAUAAGGAUCGGCUAACUCCGUGCCAGCAGCCGCGGUAAUACGGAGGAUCCAAGCGUUAUCCGGAAUCAUUGGGUAUAAAGGGUCCGUAGGUGGAUAACUAAGUCAGAGGUGAAAUCUUGCAGCUCAACUGUAAAAUUGCCUUUGAAACUGGUUAUCUUGAGUUAUUAUGAAGUAGUUAGAAUAUGUAGUGUAGCGGUGAAAUGCAUAGAUAUUACAUAGAAUACCAAUUGCGAAGGCAGAUUACUAAUAAUUAACUGACACUGAUGGACGAAAGCGUGGGUAGCGAACAGGAUUAGAUACCCUGGUAGUCCACGCCGUAAACGAUGGUUACUAGCUGUUUGGACUUCGGUCUGAGUGGCUAAGCGAAAGUGAUAAGUAACCCACCUGGGGAGUACGUUCGCAAGAAUGAAACUCAAAGG